CUCCCGCAACAUUCCCCAAAAAGUACUUUGGGGAAUAAUUUUGCGGUUACAACAACAACAACCUACGCUUUCGUUUCAUAUAAUGGACCUUUUACUCAAGAUCGAAUUUUCAUUUCAACAGAAGAGAGCCAAACUUGGUAGGUGAGCGUAUUUUAAUGAGGACCUAAAGUUCUGUUACAGGUCCAGAAAUAUACACACCUCUCAUAUACUAUAUAAAGUUGGUUAGUUUGCUGUUGGGGUUUUUUAGAAAGAAGUUCCGCUCAUCUCUCUGGAUGCAUGGCAACCGAAAUAAAUCUAGCAAGUCCUGCUCGUAUAUGCCGCAGCAACUGCAACAGAAGACACUAGAGUUAUGUUCAUAAAGGUCCUGUUUAGAGGAAGUAAAUGGUUUGAUCUCUUCUCUUCGAUAAAGAGCCAGAACUGUUUGGUUAUAAUGUGUAUGCCUUUAUCCGGCCAUGUGCUAUUGGCCUUACUGGUCGAAGAUGAAUUUAAAUGGAAUUAACCGUGCUUAGGACUAUUCCGCCUCGAAUAAACCCUUUAUUUUUAACUGAUCUGUGGUCUUAUCACAAAAUGAUCAGCCGUGUAUCAAGUGUUCAUUUUAACACGAACGAAUUGGUUUCUCUAACUCCUUGCUUUUAAAUUGAAACUAUAUCCAUCUGAGACGAUCAGAAAAUCAAAGAUAAUUUUCUGUACAGAUGCCAGACCAAUGAUGCAGCUUAACAAUAAUGUCCUCCACUCAACAUAGCCGAAGAAUGUUUUAUAUGACCCUCUGCGCGUUAGGGAUUCAAGAAUUUACCCGUGGUAAGUCAUGACUUUCACAAGGGGCGACUCAACCCCAAUAGUUCCCGCCACAGUCGGAUCUUUAUACCGAAACGACCCGGAUAUUUUUGCGGUUACAACAACAACAACAAUAACAACAACUUAACAAUAAAGUCAUUCACUUCCAGUCCUCGACGUAACCAACCAACUUAUCUAACACUUGCCUCCAAGUGGUAGGAAUUUAUUAAAAUACGAGUUGGUCAUUUCCUUGCUACGGCUAGAUGAGUUCAUUGAUGUGAGCUAGUGUUACCGGCGCCCAAAAUGGGGUGUAGCGGAUUGUCAAAAAAAAAAAAAAAAAAAAUACAACUAAAAAGACAUAUUCAUUUUCUUCCUAUCAAUCUCAUAGAUCGAAGUGAAGUUUUUCCUUGUAUUUUUCUUCGUCAAUUCAGUAUUUUGUUGCAUCUUAUUGAUUAUGAUUAUUAAAAAUUUAUUUACAAUAAUUCAAAUAACAUAAAAAGGCGAAUGGAAGUCGCCGCGCCAGUCGGCCAAAGACUGUCACUCCCGCAAUAUUUCUCGAAAAUAAAUUUACGAAAUAUAUUUCUUAUUAUAUAGAAAAUUAUUAAAAAAAAAAAUAUAUAUUUUCUUAGAAAUUUUUAGAAACAAGGAAAGAGUCGCGUGUUAUGUUCUAUAAGACUCUUAGCAAGAUUGCUUUAUACGUCACAGGCAAACACGUCAUUUACAAGACGUCAAAGGUAAAAAGUGCUUGUCUGCCUGGCUGGGCUUUCUUUGACUAAUUGUUUUUUUUUUUUUUUUUAUAAAAUUAUGAGAUUUUAAAAGUUUGCUAAAAAUUUUCAGAUAAAAAUUAAAAGGAUUUAACUUGAAUGGCUGACGGAUCAACCCACAGCCUACACCACAAUUCGUAGCGACCUGAAACUUACAGGCUGAGCUUUGCAUAUGGCGUGAGCACCUGACAUGAAAGGAUUCUGCUGGAACUGUUACCGAACUAUACGUAAAAAAAAAUUUAACUUACUCAUAAAUAGUUGUAUUUACAUGGCAUUUGGUAUACACGUAACUCUAAAGAAGAAUUGAUAUGGGAACCACUUUCUCCUACGGCAAGUGGACGUUAGACCGAUACGUUUGAAAACUUGUAUUUAUACUUGAUUAAUAUAAAUUUGGUAUAGAAGUAACUUCCGGCCUGAAAAAACAUUGGUAGUUACGGUAUCAAUUUCUUAGCAACACUGGAAGCUCUAUGACAAAUCAGCCAAGGCAUUAUUAUUGAACAACGCUUUCAAGUUUCGAAGCAAGGUUUUUUUUUAAAGCUACCUAGUGGUCCGGGCAAGACAUUUAUAUUCAACUUUUUGUUGGCCAAAAUGAGAAGCAAACAUUGUAUCGCCUUAACUGUGGCAGCGUCGGAAUAACUGCGCGAAAUAACUUAUUUAUGGGGACCUUCUCUUAACGCGUCUGCGUGUAAGUGUUAGGAUUAAAUUAAUUUAAAUUAACACAUAUUGUCUUCAAAAAGUGCUUAAAUGUGGCGCUCCAUUGGCAUACUCACUUUCCCACUUGCUGUUCCUCCCGCCACACCAAUCAGAAAUGGGGUUUUUAUAUCUGUUUUGUGUUCACAAUUUGGCAGAAAAACAACCGCAUUGUGUAAAAUAUUCAAUCAGCUGUUACGUAGAGAGUUGCCCAUUUGAUAAAAACCAUUUCAACUAAAGGUAAUAUCCCAAUUUCAACUGGCGUUACUUGACAACUUUGAAAACUGCAACGACCAAAUGGAGUAUGGAAAUGUUGUGGUAAUAAACAAACUCAUACUGGCAAACACUUGAUCAAACUGUCAAUAAGAUAACUACCCAACCAGCGUUUCCGAUGUCUUUUAAUUCGAUUUGAUUCGAUUAACUAUGUCGAUGUCGGCGCAUCGCCUUUGCUAUCGCUUACAGCAUACGAAAAUUUUUAGAGGUAUACGAAAGAGCGAAUAGAAAAUGCUUUGUGAACUCCGUAGUGACAGUUUUGUUGGCCGAUAACUCUGACAUGUUUUAGCGCACUUGUAUUGAGUGUUCGUUAUCAAGAACAUAAAUUUACGCUUGCACUUGGUAGAAAACAAGAUGAGUGUUAUGAGAAGUUAGUGAACAGAGUGUGUACAAUAAAGCAACUCUGCAAGAAAUCUUGGAAGUUUUAUUCAAUAAUCCUGUGGUGAAACUCGAAAUUAAGGUUGAAUUUACGAAAACGUGUCUCCCUGGCAACAAUCAAAGCUGAAAGUAGACGGUCUUACCAUGAUACCACUUAUUUAAGACACAUUUUAAAUGGUACAGGAAAGCGGAAGUAUUUACUGAAAUUACUAAUUUAAUAUAUUAUACCUUAGUGCAAACUAACAAAUAUCAAUUAGAAAUGUUAUAAAACAUUUAAAAAUUUUAUACGUUUAAACAGUACAAUUUCUUUAGCACAUAUAUCACCCUGUACUUACAGCAGCAAAUAACUGCCAUAACUGUUCUCUGUUAGUUUCCGUUUUUAUAAAUGGCGAAUGAGCAAGUUCCGGGAAAGUGUAGAAUGUAGUUAAUGUAUUUAAUAAUAAUACCAAAGGAAAUAUGUAUAAGUAAUACUUUUUCUACAUUUUUAUUUAAAUGUGUCGUGUAGUGCGUCGAAAGGGCAGUGUUGGCUUGGAAUUUGUUGGUGAAUUGACUAUGAAUAUCAUUUCAACUGAUAAAGCAUAAGGACGAGUUUAUAGCAUAUGCGUAUAUGUUAUUCGCUAUUAGCUCUGUUCGGUGAGAUAUGUAAGUAACAAUAAACAAGAAUGAAAUGUCAAAAUGGUGCUCUUUCAGUGCAAAUUUUUCCGAAUUUUCGUAAAGUAUAAUUAAGUAACAAAUGUUACAACCGAAAAGGACUAUUAUUAUAUAUUUACUUAAUUAGUCUAUGAGGUUUAGUUUUGGACAACCAGGUCUACUUUGGCACAGUUAUGCCCCUCAUAUUCUUAUUUUUUACUUAAAAAAAAUUGUUGAAUUCGUAGGCGGGACAAAUCUGAGUAACUGAUUUUCAUGAACUUAUUCAUUUUAUCAUAUUCAUUGGUACCCUAUGAACAAAACAAUAAAAGAAAUAU